rnacentral:rRNA from 1 species
AGAGUUUAGAUCUUGGCUCAGAUUGAACGCUGGCGGCAUGCCUUACACAUGCGAGUCGAACGGCAGCACGGGAGCUUGCUCCUGGUGGCGAGUGGCCGUAACGGGUGAGUAAUGCAUCGGAACGUAUCCUGGAGUGGGGGAUAACGUAGCGAAACGUUACGCUAAUACCGCAUAUUCUGUGAAGCAGGAAAGCGGGGGACCUUCGGGCCUCGCGCUCUUGGA